rnacentral:rRNA from 1 species
AUGCAUCACGGCAGCACUUCAGCUCCUCUUGUGGAUUCUCACCAGAUCAGGCCACCUCACUCACCUUCAGUUGUCAGGACCUCACCGGCAGAUCCCUCAGCUAUCAGGGAAAGCAGUCAUCAGCGGAGAUUGAGAGUGCCUCUCCGGCAAGAGUGCUCGUGUCGUGGUGGUUUCCCACCAGCAUCAUGGGGGAGACGGUGUCCUCUGCAGCUAGGUCUACUUGCUGGCGACCUCACCGUCACCAGCCCAUCUGCAGGUAUGCUAGCUCAUCUUCUAUUAGUGCAAAAAGGAGAUGCUCAAAUGGAUUGA